AUCCAUCUGACGGGUUCCAAAUAGGACGAAACGUGUGUCCUGGGU
rfam:Schistosoma curassoni strain Dakar, Senegal genome assembly, scaffold: SCTD_contig0013605